rnacentral:rRNA from 1 species
UACCAGCACCCCGAGUGGUCGGGACGAUUAUUGGGCCUAAAGCAUCCGUAGCCGGCCUUACAAGUCCCCCGUUAAAUCCAACUGCUUAACAGAUGGGCUGCGGAGGAUACUAUAAGACUAGGAGGCAGGAGAGGCAAGCGGUACUCAGUGGGUAGGGGUAAAAUCCUGUAAUCCUUCGGGGAGGACCAGUGGCGAAGGCGCUACACUAGAACGGCUCUGACAGUGAGGGACGAAGCCCUGGGGCGCAAACCGG